AACUUUUAUCAUUAAUUAAGAGUAUCAAAUUAUUUAACUAGUAAUGAAAUGGUAAACAGUAAUCAAUUUAUAAUCGUUGUUUUAUAAAAUUAUUAGUGGCAUACAUAGAAUUAAGAAUGUGAAAUUCAUAUCAAAUUUGAAUAUUGUAAUUAAAUAGAAAGCUCAUUUCUUUUUCUUAUAAACGAAGGAUGAGUCAUAGGUUUUUCCUGACGAUACAAUACCCUUUUUUUUGUAUACCGGGGACUCGAGUAAGGCCCGAGUCCCACGGUCCCUUUUUUAUUGCUACCACAUGUUUGGGUUUUCCCAACUGUUUCGAAGUUCGGAAAUAUGUAUUUCUCAAAAGGCUAUUUUUUAUAGAAAUAAACUCUGUUUCUUUUCAAUUCUAAUUUUUUGUGUCCUACGUGACAUUUGCCUCAUUUUCGCAGACUAUUUCAACAUCUGUAAUUUUAACAAUUAUUCCUUUUCAAAAAGCAGCACAUGUUUGGUUGCCAUUCUAUUUCGUUCUUUAGAUUUUUUGCAUGUGAUAAAAUUCUUUACGGAAAUAAGCAAAUAAAUGCAUGCGUUUUUAUUUUACAUUAAAAUUCAAUUAUUAUAUUGAUAUUAAUUUUGAAUCCUAGCGCUAUUACCUAGUUACUUCCGUACGAAGAGUUACGUAGUGUUUUUCCCUAGCGGAGAAUUACGUGAAUUUAGGCCUGCCGUCACACCUCCCGCCUUACUAAAAAAAAAUUGUUUACGUAGUAACAAUUUUUUCGUUUGUUUUCAGUUUUUAGAAUUUAAACAAGUUAAAUAAAUCUAUCUCAAGUUGAAAUUGGAUUGCUUAAAAGUUGACACAAUUAAGUGUUAAAUCAUGGUAUUAUAUGUUACUGAUUUUAAAAUGCAUUUCUUUUUCAAAAUAAUGCUGUGACAGUGUAUGUUCUAUACAUAGGUUCUACAAGUCAGCGUCCUAUAUAAUGGGCAGUGUAAUUUUAAAAGAAAAUACUACUAGUUAAGACCAAUAUCGAAAUUUAUUAGUGUAACGAAACUUGUCAGAUAAGUAUAUUAAUUUUAAUAAUUUGUGAAAAAUUUGUAGGUUUUCUUAGAUAAGAUUUUUCUUUGUUAAAAUAUUUAUGUUUCAGGUGCUGAAUUAUAAUGUUAACUUGAAUGAUUUUACAUGUUGUCUGAAAUUGCGAUAAGAAGAUUAAAAUUGUGUAUGCCCUGCUAUGGUUAUUUGUUUAAUUACAAAGGUAAAGUAAUUUAUCAUACGUAUAUUAUUUAAUGGCUAUGUUGUAUUGAACUUUAUCUAUUUUUAUUCGCAGUGUUUGCUAAUUUUUUGUUAUAAUACAUGUAAUGUUAUUUAAACAUAUUAAUGUUUAAAUGACUUUUUUUUUUUUUUUUUUUUUUAUUGCUGAAAGCGAUUCAUUUAAUAAUUUCAAUGCGCUAAUUCAUAAUUUCUUUAUUUUGUCCCAGACAAGCGACAAGAACGAUAAUUAAAAUACAAUAUUCAGCAAAAAUUCAAGAUAUACAUUAUAUGCAUAAAAGAAAAACAUACAUAAAAUAAUAUUCCUAAGAUAUUUUCAACAAUGAUAAAUAAUCCUCAAUAUUACAUUCAUAAAAAAUUUAUCAAUAUCAAUAGUCAUAAUAACGAGAUUCUUCUCAUCCAAUAAAAUAAAUAUUUAUAUAAUCUAAGCUUAAAAAUUUUCGCACUUUCAAUAGUACUGAUAGAGCCAGGAAGAGAAUGCCACAAAUUUAUACAAUGAACAAAUUUACAAAUAAACAAUCUUAAUUUUACCCGUUUUUUCGUUAAUAAUUUUUGCGUUAUGUGAACCUAAAAUUUUCCGACUUUGUAUGGUCCCUCAAAAAGCGAAUCGAACUUUUUGUCAUUUCUGACAUUGAUUUUUAGAUUAACAAUAUUCCCUUUUUGAAAAUCUAUACACUCGAUUCUCGUUAUAACGACGAUCUCGGGACUUCAAAAUCUCGAUAUAACGACAGAAGGAGAAGAUCCUACUUCACGUUCUAUUCAAACGUCAAAUACGUGCAAAAUUUUUCGUAAUGUAUGUUUAUUUAUAUUAAAAGUUUUUAAAUUAUAGAAUCAGUUUAAAGAAAAAGUAAGUAUUUUUAAUAAUAAUCGGAUCACUAGAUUCUUUAGGUUAAAUAAAGUUAAGAGUCGAUUAAAUUUGUCGUUUUUUUUGAGUUAACCAAAAUUUUGGUUAAAUUGAAUUCUUAAAUUCGUUCGUGUUUUUUUUGUCGUUGUAUCGAGAGUUUUAAUGUUCGUUAUAACGAGAGAACGUUGUAACGAGAUUCGUUAUAACAAGAAUCGAGUGUAUUACUUUUUCUUCGUUUUGAAAAAUUAUAUUGGAUAGUGAUAGUUGUUUGUCAAUUCUUACAUUUUCUUAUAAACGCUUGUAUUUUGAUUUUUAUUUCCGGUCAGUAAUAAAUUAAUCUAAUUCGCCAAUAUGUUUUAGAAACAUCUUUAUCCUCGCCAGUGGUGGAUUCAUGGAAUUCUUUAAUUAUUUUUUUCUUUCUGUCACUAAUCUAUGGGGUAAUUAUCUCCCCAAAGCAGAUAAUUAAUUUCAAUUUUAUACCAGAAAAAUGUUCGAGAAAUAGUUUCUCUACUUAUGUCGAAGAUACGUCACCUAAAUUAUUUUCUUUACUAGAAACUCUAAACGACUUCAACAGUUAGAAUUAAAUUUAGAAUUAGAAUUCCUUUAUUUUGUUCCACGAUAACCAUGAGGACAACAAUUGAUUUACGACAAAUACAAUAUAUAUGUAUAUAAUAUAAACGAUUGGAAAUUAUUUAGAUUACGAAAAGAAUCUUAGACUUAAAAGAAUCACAGUAACAUGGAUCACAUUUAGUGAAAUCAUGGCAUUUUUCAAGUGCCAAAAUUGAUUUUGAAAGCACAUCAAGCACUUUUUUUUUUUUUGUUGAACUAUUUUUCGCUAUAACAUGAAAAAUAUAUCGAUUAUUUUGGGCGAAUACGAUUACUUUACCAAGAUUUAAAACUUCAGUUGCCCACAGGCUGCAAAAUUUUACUUUCGAUUAACUUACGCCUUAUUUGCUAAUCUAAAUUAUCAUCACAUGCCCAAAAAAAAAAAUGGAUCACGUGGCUUUUAACAUUAACACAAAGUCCUUGCUGUAUGAAAUACUAUCAUUCGUAAUUACCAUUACUGGUUUAGAUUUUUGCAAAAGGUCUUUAAUUUCUUUUCUUUGACUUUCCCAUGAUUUUACACUGGUUCCACUACCUUGAUCAGGGGUAGCUUCCCCAUUUACUGUACAAAUACUCAAUACUUGAGCCUUAUCUUUCUCCCACGUACGGUUAACUUCUCCAUUAGCUCGGCACUGUGAGCAUAAUUGAGCUUAAUCUCGACGAAAUCGCCAGAUUGUAAAAGAACUCGGACAAGAUGAUUUUCACACCGGGGUGUGGAAACAUCACGUCUCCAAGAACAAGUCUGUUCCCAUAAUUAAUACCACAAAUUUUCAUUUAAGGUGUCAAUAUGUUCCUGAACAUCCUUGUAUACGGCAACUCCUACAGGUUUUACAAUACGCCCAAAUACCUCAUGAAGGUUUACGCCAGUCGUGUUCGCCACAGUGCUUUGGGUACCACGUCUAUAACAAGAACAUGAUUUAAGACGACUUCCGGAAGGUUUGUGUCACUCAAUGGAAUGCUACCGUAGUGUAGAAAACAAGUUUCAUGAGAAAGCAAAUUUCAACAACUUUUUCAGCCAAAAAAAAAAAAUGAAAAUUCAUCAGAGAAAGAAUCUUUCAAAACAUUAAAAUUGUGCACAUUUUUACAACAUCGUACGGAUUUCUAGGAGAGUUAUCCGCGUUUGUAUUAAUGACACCUGAUUUAUAUUUAAUAUCGUAAUCGUACUCGCUCAAUUUUUUAAUUUCCAUCGUGCUAAACGGGAAACAGGAUCUUUAAAGUUAUGAAACCAUACGAAAGAGAAGAAAUUGUGUCACGAAGCUGUUCGAAAUCAGAUUAUUGUAAAUCGUUCCAUUAAAAGAGAUAACCUUUUUCAAGAGAAAUUCCCUUAUGGCAAUGACUUUAUUUGGAUCAGAUUUUACGCCGUCUUCAGAAACAACAUGACUGAUAUAAGAAAUUUUGUCGUGAAAGAAAUUUGUCGACCACAGAGAUAGCAUUUAUAAUGCCAGGCCAGCAGUUUUUAAAUCUAUCAUGCAACGAUUUAGAUGGAACCCUUUGGCGAGAUCGAAAGUGGAAGAAACUUAGCAUCGCCAAGUUGUUCGAAAAUGUCAGUUAUUUUUACUACUGAGUAAACAGAAUAAAUACUAUAGAGAGAGUAAAUUUUGAAUCAAAAGGUAAAUAGUUUAUAUAAAUUUAUAUUAUGUUAAAUUUUAAUAAAUACUACUAUAUUUACUAAUAUGUAUAAUUACUACAUUAUAGCUAUCGCUAACAGUUUUUUUUUUCUUCGUUUAAUUUCCCGUAACAAAUUAUCAUACGCAAAUUUUUUUUUGUGUUAUUGCCCUUAGAAUACGCUUAUUAUUCGGAACCAGGACUUGCAUCGAUUCUAUCAAUGUAACCUUUUCAUAAAUUUGAUUUAUUAAUGGAAAUUUUAACAGGUGUUUUGGAUCGAAAUUUUAAAUUUAUUAUAGAAUUCGAUAUUAAUGGGAUGUAUUCUUCUCCUAAAUGAAAACAUUCGUUAAUAAAAUUUUAAACUUCACUCUAUUUUCACAAAAAAGAUGUAGCUAUAAAAUGCUCUCAUAUUGAAUGAGAAAAUUUUUUAUCGAUAAUUUGUAAAGAUGUUUCUUUGUCCUCGCUUGACAACCAUGUUCUGAUCGCGGCAUUUUUUGAAUAAAAUAAAAAUUUAAUAUAAUAUUACAAAGAAAAUACGGUUUGCAUAUUUUAAUAGCUGAAGUUAAUUUUUAAUUCGAUUACAAAGUUUUUAUUUUAAAAAAAAAUUAGAAUUUAUCGUAGGAGUAGUCUAAUUUACCAAUAUUUUUUUUUUUGUAAGAAUUGUACGUUUAACAAAAUUCAUAAUUUGAAAAUGAACCAAAAAAAAAAUUUUUUUUUUUUAUAGAUAUGUUUUUGACUUACAGUUUUGAUGUAUCAACCUUAAAUUUGCGGUCAGUUAAAAUCUAAUAAUAUCCUUACACACACAUUCGAAUUCACACAGGGUUUACCAGUCACAGGAAGUUGUCUGUAGUUCCAAUUAAUUCUCGUAGUUGCUGCCAGUUUCCUCAGGUAAGUUCCAUGUAGAUACGUUGAUGAGUCGACAUCGUUCACUGUUUAUUUCUAAACCGUGUUUAUUUUUUAUAAAAAUUUAGUAGCCUACGGUUAUGAGGGAAUAUCACGUGGUCCUGCUACAACCGUGUUCGAUCUUUGGUACUCAAACAAAUACCACUAGCUUCCAGAGUAAAAAACCACGUCAAAAACUCUUGGAAGAAAAUCGAGGCUUAUAAAAGAUUUCACUAAGUUCAUAAUAUUGUUCAAGUGCUAAUAAAAUAAAUUUCACAACUUCUAAUAAAUUUGUACAAUCACUAUAAUGUUUUCGUUUUUACUAUGUUAUCAAUUUAAUGUCACUUUAAAUUUCAUUGUCAAGUCUUUUAUUUAUAUUAUUUUCACUAAAAGUUUAAAAUGUCACUGUUUGAAUUUUCGGCACCACACUAAUCAAAUUGUCCCUGAAAGGUACCGACGGUUAGAUUAAACAAAUUUUCAAAAUCCAUUCACAGGUGCAGUAUCCCACCGCUGUCACCAAAAAUUGUCACGUCCCAAGUACAAAAAUAGGGAUUUUUGAAUAUUAAAAUGUUGGGGAAUUCAACUGCUAAAACACUAAAGUGUACCCUGUAAAUAGGUGGGAGAUUCAAAUUCUACUUUAUAAUGAUUACAACAAGAAAUACUUUAAAUUGGUUACUUUAAUCAACAGUAAUAAGUAAAAGUUACAAGUUCGAGCCGAGAAAUUACAAGUAAUCGGUAAGAGCAUGAUCCAAGUAACAAGGUCUCGCCAAAGUCGGGCUCAAUUUUAACUCGGUUCGCGCACCAUAAAAAAGCCGACCAAUCAUAGCGAUUACCUGAAGCGACGACCAUAUUGAAGCGCUAAAUUUUGAAUCAAAUACAGAAACAAAUUUAAAGAACAUAAAGAAUAAUAAAUUAAAAGUAAAAUAAUUCUUUAUUAAAUAUUAAUAUUUUUUAUUAAAUACUUAUUAUUAACUUGAUACAUAACAUUCACAUAUAUUGGUUGCUUGGAAUCUUGAAAAUCAAAUUACUAUUUAUUGCAAUAUUUAUUAUUAUUAUUAAUAACUUUAUAUUUAUUAAUAUUAACAAUAAUUAAA